GAUGAACGCUGGCGGCGUGCCUAAUACAUGCAAGUCGAGCGAACAGACGAGGAGCUUGCUCCUCUGACGUUAGCGGCGGACGGGUGAGUAACACGUGGAUAACCUACCUAUAAGACUGGGAUAACUUCGGGAAACCGGAGCUAAUCCCGGAUAAUAUAUUGAACCGCAUGGUUCAAUAGUGAAAGACGGUUUUGCUGUCACUUAUAGAUGGAUCCGCGCCGCAUUAGCUAGUUGGUAAGGUAACGGCUUACCAAGGCAACGAUGCGUAGCCGACCUGAGAGGGUGAUCGGCCACACUGGAACUGAGACACGGUCCAGACUCCUACGGGAGGCAGCAGUAGGGAAUCUUCCGCAAUGGGCGAAAGCUUGACGGAGCAACGCCGCGUGAGUGAUGAAGGUCUUCGGAUCGUAAAACUCUGUUAUUAGGGAAGAACAAAUGUGUAAGUAACUAUGCACGUCUUGACGGUACCUAAUCAGAAAGCCACGGCUAACUACGUG
rnacentral:rRNA from 1 species